CUCGGAAAUGUACAAGGUAAGAUCAACCAUAUGAAGCCUCUUGACAAUGCAGUUUUGCUUAUGGAAUUAGGUGUUAUGGCAGUAAGGUUUCGUUUGCUCGUGUUGAACUUCAACUGUGCUAAAAAAGAAGCUUUUAAGGCAUUCUCUGAAGUCCACACAUAUAAUGUUGUUAUUGAAUCCAUACUUCUACAUUCUAAUUGCUUCUCUUCUGCAGUGCAAUUCAUUUUUGAUAUCAUAUUUGCGGAAGAGUUGGCUUGAUGUCCUUCUCACAUGGAUUUUUGGACUGAUGAAGUGAUUUCUGAACUGGUGAAAUCUGUUUUUAAGUUCAGACUGAAGAAAUUGAGGCUUUUCCCUGACCAAAGAGAACAUAGUCGUCGAUAUUGGAGUCCCAUCCAGUGGAUAUUGUUUCCACUUGGCUAAAGCAGUGAAUUAUUUUGAUCACUCCAGGUGGAAGGUGUUGGAACCUGGAAAUAGAAGAGGUUCUUAAUAUAGAUAUCACUGUAAACUUAAGCUGCUUUGUAUAUUUAUUUCAUUUAUUUACAUUUUCUAUAUACAGCUAUUUGUUCUAUUAGUCCUUAGUUGCUGGUAACAUAGUUGUGAUCAAAUAUGAAACAUCUUAACUAGUGAUCUUUUUUGCAAGG
rnacentral:lncRNA from 1 species